UACAGAGGGUGCGAGCGUUAAUCGGAAUUACUGGGCGUAAAGCGUGCGUAGACGGUUAUUUAAGUCAGGUGUGAAAGCCCCGGGCUCAACCUGGGAAUUGCAUUUGAGACUGAAUAGCUAGGGUGCGGAUGAGGGAAGCGGAAUUUCCGGUGUAGCGGUGAAAUGCGUAGAUAUCGGAAGGAACACCAGUGGCGAAAGCGGCUUCCUGGUCCAGCACCGACGUUCAGGCACGAAAGCGUGGGGAGCAAACAGG
rnacentral:rRNA from 1 species